AUUGAACGCUGGCGGCAUGCCUUACACAUGCAAGUCGAACGGCAGCGCGGGGCAACCUGGCGGCGAGUGGCGAACGGGUGAGUAAUAUAUCGGAACAUACCCUAGAGUGGGGGAUAACGUAGCGAAAGUUACGCUAAUACCGCAUACGCACUAAGGUGGAAAGUGGGGGAUUCGCAAGAACCUCAUGCUCAUGGAGUGGCCGAUAUCUGAUUAGCUAGUUGGUGAGGUAAAGGCUCACCAAGGCGACGAUCAGUAGCUGGUUUGAGAGAACGACCAGCCACACUGGAACUGAGACACGGUCCAGACUCCUACGGGAGGCAGCAGUGGGGAAUUUUGGACAAUGGGGGCAACCCUGAUCCAGCAAUGCCGCGUGAGUGAAGAAGGCCUUCGGGUUGGUUAAAGACGU
rnacentral:rRNA from 1 species